GACGAACGCUGGCGGCGUGCUUAACACAUGCAAGUCGAACGGAAAGGCCCUGCUUUUGUGGGGUGCUCGAGUGGCGAACGGGUGAGUAACACGUGAGUAACCUGCCCUUGACUUUGGGAUAACUUCAGGAAACUGGGGCUAAUACCGGAUAGGAGCUCCUGCUGCAUGGUGGGGGUUGGAAAGUUUCGGCGGCUGGGGAUGGACUCGCGGCUUAUCAGCUUGUUGGUGGGGUAGUGGCUUACCAAGGCUUUGGCGGGUAGCCGGCCUGAGAGGGUGACCGGCCACAUUGGGACUGAGAUACGGCCCAGACUCCUACGGGAGGCAGCAGUGGGGAAUAUUGCACAAUGGGCGGAAGCCUGAUGCAGCAACGCCGCGUGCGGGAUGACGGCCUUCGGGUUGUAAACCGCUUUCGCCUGUGACGAAGCGUGAGUGACGGUAAUGGGUAAAGAAGCACCGGCUAACUACGUG
rnacentral:rRNA from 1 species